rnacentral:tRNA from 1 species
GCACGGGUGGUGGAAUGGUAGACACGCAUGGUUGAGGGCCAUGUGGGCGCAAGCCUGUGAGGGUUCAAGUCCCUCUCCGUGCACCA